rnacentral:rRNA from 1 species
CCGGAUAAUCCUUUUCUUCUCAUGAAGAAAAGUUGAAAGAUGGCUUCGGCUAUCACUUACAGAUGGGCCCGCGGCGCAUUAGCUAGUUGGUGAGGUAACGGCUCACCAAGGAGUCGAUGCGUAGCCGACCUGAGAGGGUGAUCGGCCACACUGGGAUUGAGACACGGCCCAGACUCCUACGGGAGGCAGCAGUAGGGAAUCUUCUGCAAUGGACGAAAGUCUGACGGAGCAACGCCGCGUGAGUGAUGAAGGUUUUCGGAUCGUAAAACUCUGUUGUUAGGGAAGAACAAGUACCGUUCGAAUAGGGCGGUACCUUGACGGUACCUAACCAGAAAGCCACGGCUAACUACGUGCCAGCAGCCGCGGUAAUACGUAGGUGGCUAGCGUUGUCCGGAAUUAUUGGGCGUAAAGCGCGCGCAGGCGGUCUUUUAAGUCUGAUGUGAAAGCCCCCGGCUCAACCGGGGAGGGUCAUUGGAAACUGGGAGACUUGAGUGCAGAAGAGGAGAGUGGAAUUCCACGUGUAGCGGUGAAAUGCGUAGAGAUGUGGAGGAACACCAGUGGCGAAGGCGACUCUCUGGUCUGUAACUGACGCUGAGGCGCGAAAGCGUGGGGAGCGAACAGGAUUAGAUACCCUGGUAGUCCACGCCGUAAACGUUGAGUCGCUAAGUGUUAGAGGGUUUCCGCCCUUUAGUGCUGCAUCAAACGCAUUAAGCACUCCGCCUGGGGAGUACGGCCGCAAGGCUGAAACUCAAAGGAAUUGACGGGGGCCCGCACAAGCGGUGGAGCAUGUGGUUUAAUUCGAAGCAACGCGAAGAACCUUACCAGGUCUUGACAUCCUCUGACAAUCCUAGAGAUAGGACGUUCCCCUUUGGGGG